UCCUAUUUUUGCUUCAUGGCGAGAUGUUGAAAGACGGUUUCGGCUGUCACUACAAGAUGGGCCCGCGGCGCAUUAGCUAGUUGGUAGGGUAAUGGCCUACCAAGGCGACGAUGCGUAGCCGACCUGAGAGGGUGAUCGGCCACACGUGGGACUGAGACACCGGCCCAGACUCCGUACGGGAGGCAGCAGUAGGGAAUCUUCCACAAUGGACGAAAGUCUGAUGGAGCAACGCCGCGUGAGUGAAGAAGGUUUUCGGAUCGUAAAACUCUGUUGUAAGGGAAGAACACGUACGAGAGUAACUGCUCGUACCUUGACGGUACCUUAUUAGAAAGCCACGGCUAACUACGUG
rnacentral:rRNA from 1 species